AUUGAACGCUGGCGGCAUGCCUUACACAUGCAAGUCGAACGGCAGCGGACCUUCGGGUGCCGGCGAGUGGCGAACGGGUGAGUAAUAUAUCGGAACGUACCUUUCAGUGGGGGAUAACGUAGCGAAAGUUACGCUAAUACCGCAUAUUCUGUGAGCAGGAAAGCAGGGGAGUCGCAAGACCUUGCGCUGAUUGAGCGGCCGAUAUCAGAUUAGCUAGUUGGUGAGGUAAAGGACUCACCAAGGCGACGAUCUGUAGCGGGUCUGAGAGGAUGAUCCGCCACACUGGAACUGAGACACGGUCCAGACUCCUACGGGAGGCAGCAGUGGGGAAUUUUGGACAAUGGGGGAAACCCGUGAUCCAGCAAUGCCGCGUGCGUGAAGAAGGCCUUAGGGUUGUAAAGACGCUUUCACCUGUGAUGAUGAUGACAGUAGCAGGAGAAGAAGCCCCGGCUAACUCCGUGCCAGCAGCCGCGGUAAUGUG
rnacentral:rRNA from 1 species